rnacentral:tRNA from 1 species
GGGCCUAUAGCUCAGUUGGUUAGAGCUACCGGCUCAUAACCGGUCGGUCCCAGGUUCGA